AUUGAACGCUGGCGGCAGGCCUAACACAUGCAAGUCGAGCGGAUGAAGGGAGCUUGCUCCUGGAUUCAGCGGCGGACGGGUGAGUAAUGCCUAGGAAUCUGCCUGGUAGUGGGGGAUAACGUCCGGAAACGGGCGCUAAUACCGCAUACGUCCUGAGGGAGAAAGUGGGGGAUCUUCGGACCUCACGCUAUCAGAUGAGCCUAGGUCGGAUUAGCUAGUUGGUGGGGUAAAGGCCUACCAAGGCGACGAUCCGUAACUGGUCUGAGAGGAUGAUCAGUCACACUGGAACUGAGACACGGUCCAGACUCCUACGGGAGGCAGCAGUGGGGAAUAUUGGACGAUGGGCGGAAGCCUGAUCCAGCCAUGCCGCGUGUGUGAAGAAGGUCUUCGGAUUGUAAAGCACUUUAAGUUGGGAGGAAGGGCAGUAAGUUAAUACCUUGCUGUUUUGACGUUACCAACAGAAUAAGCACCGGCUAACUUCGUG
rnacentral:rRNA from 1 species